CGGUCGUGUCAAUAAAAUCGUAAAAUUCUAGCGAAUAUCGUACCAAGUGUAUCAGCACAUAUAUUUUAUCAUCUGAUGAGGUAAAUGAGACCUGUUUCAUUUGUAUGUGAACUUUAUUUCUAAAAUUAUAUUUGAAAAUUAUUGCAAAUUUAAAAACAAAUUCACCUAAAGAUUGAAGUUUUAACUGAAAAUGGUCAUGAUCCCAAUAAAAUGCUUUGUCACCAUCUUUCUGGCUGUGAUCUUUUGCUGUGAUUCCCAACAGUCAGACAACCCCGGCGGUUCUUCUUUUUGGGUGAAACUACAACAAAUUUCACCAGACACUUUAAGUUCUAUGGAGUAUGGCAAUUUUCUCAUUGAAAUUUAUGAACACGUCAAUAAUCACAAGCCAACGAUAACUGCCAGUGAGAAAAAAUAUUUCUACUCCCCCAUUGCGCUAUUGGACCACUCAAGUGCCGUUAGUACUUACAACAAGUUUACGAAACAGCCAGAGAUGAGCUUCCGCAUUGAAAUGUGGAACGACAAAGUCCAAAAUGAAGUUGUCAAACAUUUAAAUGAAAUCGUCGGCCAUGAAAUAAAAUCCAAUAAAGUGAGAGUCAUUCCCUUGGAGAAGGUCAUUCUUACUAGUAACAAACCCGCAACAGAUUAUUCGCUAUCGCCAGUAUGGACGAAUUACGACAAGAGUAAAACCCUUUGGUUUUCUCUGUCGUGUUUUGACCAGAAAGUCUGCGACGGACUGGCCAAUGAAAUGCGAUCCAAUCCCAAACAUUUAAACCAUUUCCAACUCCUGUACAGUUUGUCAUCGCAGACGUCGCAAACUAAACAGACGACCAUCCGCAUCGACAGCGUCACUUCCGGUCAAUUGAUCACUUCUCUUUUACAGAAAUUUGGAGACAAAAAAGAAAUUUUUUUGACGGCCAGCGACGAGAAGAAAAUGUUGACGGAAACGGCCACCAACAUUCGAAUGGACACAUUUGACGACUCCGAGGUCGGGUCGCCUGAUACGGAAUCGCAAAUUUUAAAUAUUUUAAAGGAUUUGCUGGUCACGUCCAGGAUGACCAUCAAAGAACAAAGGGAUAAAAUGUGGGACUCUGUUUUCUGGAAUGACGACAAUUACCGGCCGGACAAGACGACGAAAACUUUAAAUGAAAUCCUCAACAAAUUGGACACGGAAACUCAAACGAAAUUGGCGGACAUGUUUCAAAAAGCGGAGAAACAGUCGGAAAUAUUAGGAAAAUUAACUUCGAAUAGUAAAGAGACAAGACGAGAAGAUCAACAUCGCAAUAUUAAUUUUAAUGAGAAAUGGAAACUUGCAAAAAACUACUCGGAUGAAGAAAAUAAAAAUUUAGAGAAUAAAGAAAAAAUCCAACACAAUUACGACUUAAGCAGUUGGGAUGACGUGGACAGAAUCAGUUCAAUCAUUUCAGAGAAAAUGGCAAACGAAUCUGAUGGUUCCAGCCAAGUUGAAAUUACGAAAGAAGAUGUUAAAAUUUUAUUACAAGAAAGUAGAGACAACGUACAAUGGGACGGAGAAAAAUUCGUGCCCAAACCGAUGCAACUGAGCAAAAUCAAUUUGGGCCAAUUUCGCGACUCUCAAUCGUUUCAGGAUCGUAACAUCCGGGUUCGUUACACGACCGCCGAACUGUCGGCGCCGAUAAAAAUUAUGGAACACGCAGAAUUGACCGUCACUGACGAAUGGAACAAUUUAAAGGAGGAACUCAAAGCCACUACUGAACUCUUAACUACAACUGUGAACAACUUGGUGAAAACGAACACCGAACUGAAUAUGGUGAAGAGUGAUGUAACAAACACGCGAAUAGAUUCGACUAAUAAAUUAGAAGAGUUGGAGAAAACCAAAAACGACUUGGAGGAAACGAAGGCCAAUGUCAAUAAUCUAUCGAUAAAGUUAAAUGAGACCAAACAGGAGUUGGUGAAAACGAGAGCAGAUUUUCUCAUAACCGUCGAUGAUUUAUCUGCAAAAUUAAACGCCACCGAAAAAGAAUUGGCGAAAACGAAAAUCACGACCGGAAAUUUGUCAACUGAACUCAAAAAUUGUGUAGCGAAUUCGGAUCGAUUAGGUCAAGAAUUAAAAGUUACCGCCGAAAAUUUUAAAAAAGAUCUAAGAGCAACCUCAAAUGAUUUAAAAACUACAAAAACAAAUUUGGCCUCAACGAGAACCGAAUUGAACAGCACCAAAUCCGCCGUUGCGGAUUUGGUGAUCAAAUUAAAUGCCCGAACGAGUGAAUUGGUCGACAUUGGUCGAAUGCCAACUUCGUGUGCGGAUCUGCAGCGAAUGGGACACAAACUGAGCGGAUUCUUUUCUGUCAAAGGAACGAAGAAAAUGGAAUUGAUUUACUGCAAUUUCAAUGCCAAUCAAAAUGACAAACAGAAAUGGAUCGGAUACGCCGACGUCAAAUCAGCGCCCGUCCAUUUCCACGUCACGAGAAAUUCUAAUUUUAAAACAGAAGGAACUCCGGUUACAUUCGAGUUGGCGCUGGUGAACGAGGGAAAUGCCAUGAAUUUGACGUCGGGGAAAUUCACGGCACCAGCACCGGGAAUUUAUUUUUUCUCUUUCGCGGGAGUGGGGCAUCUUAAAUCUUCAUCUGAUGUUGAUUUUCAUUCUUUUCUUUAUUUGAACGGGAAUCUAAUCGGAUCGAGUAAUGUUAACGAGAGAAACGGCCCCGUUGAUCAAUAUAGUCCGUUGACCCUCCAGUCGACCGUGAACUUAAAAAAAGGCGAUCAAGUCUGGGUGAAGAUUGAAUUUUUUAGUUUCAUCCGUGAUUUAGGUUCAACCUCGUAUUUGUGGGACAGCAAUUACCACUACACCCAUUUCACGGGUUUCAUGUUGGAAGAGGAAAUUGGGGCGUCACUUUGAGGUUCAACUUCAUCGGCGACACACGAAACAUUUUCGACAUGAACAUUUUUGUUUCAUGUCGACACGCAAUUUUGGGGAAGGAAAUUUUAUGGGGGAAGGGGAAAUAAUUCAUUCGACUCUAAUUUAUUUAGGGGUAGGAAUUUAUGUACCAAAGUUAAACUGUGGAUGCAAUCACACUUACUGAAUACACACACCAAGUUUCAAAA